ACAAUGCUGACUGAAUAACAUU
rnacentral:miRNA from 1 species